UACGUAGGGGGCGAGCGUUGUCCGGAGUUACUGGGCGUAAAGGGCACGCAGGCGGUGCGGCGCGUUUCGCGUGACAGCGGAGGGCUUAACUCUCCGAGGAUGCGAAAGACGGCGGCACUUGAGGGCCAGAGAGGGACACGGAAUUCCGGGUGGAGUGGUGAAAUGCGUAGAGAUCCGGAGGAACACCGAAGGCGAAGGCAGUGUCCUGGCUGGUGACUGACGCUGAGGUGCGAAAGCUAGGGGAGCAAACAGG
rnacentral:rRNA from 1 species